CAUGAUCUGGACUUUUACUUUGAGGAAAUAAGAGUGUUUCAAGCAGGCUUUUGCCGUGAAUAUGAUAGCAUGGAAUAAUAGCACAGGACCCCUUUCCAGAGCUGUUGGUUUUUGGAACGAGGUAAUCAAAAUAAGGACAGUUGGGGGUAUUCGUAUUUAACUGUCAGAGGUGAAAUUCUUGGAUUUUUUAAAGACGAACUAUUGCGAAGGCAUCUGCCCAGGAUGUUUUUGUUGAUCAAGAACGAAAGUUAGGGGAUCGAAGACGAUCAGAUACCGUCCUAGUCUUAACCUUAAACUAUGCCGACUGGAGAUUGGAGUCGUCAGUUUUUGACGGCUUCAGCAUCCUGAGAGAAAUCUAAGUCUUUGGGUUCCGGGGGGAGUAUGGUCGCAAGGCUGAAACUUAAAGGAAUUGACGGAAGGGCACCACCAGGAGUGGAGCCUGCGGCUUAAUUUGACUCAACACGGGGAAACUUACCAGGUCCAGACAUAGAUAGGAUUGACAGACUGAUAGCUCUUUCUUAAUUCUAUGGGUGGUGGUGCAUGGCCGUUCUUAGUUGGUGGAGUGAUUUGUCUGGUUAAUUCCGUUAACGAACGAGACCUUAACCUGCUAAAUAGUUUACAGAACUUCGGUUUUUGGCUUACUUCUUAGAGGGACUUCGUGUGUUUAACACGAGGAAGCUUGAGGCAAUAACAGGUCUGUGAUGCCCUUAGAUGUCCUGGGCUGCACGCGCGCUACACUGAUGCAUCCAAUAAGCACCUAACCUGGUCUGAAGAGAUUGGGUAACCUUUGCAACGUGCAUCGUGAUGGGGAUAGAUUAUUGCAAUUAUUAAUCUUGAACGAGGAAUUCCUAGUAAGCACAAGUCAUCAGCUUGUGUUGAUUACGUCCCUGCCCUUUGUACACACCGCCCGUCGCUCCUACCGAUUGAAUGAUCCGGUGAAUAAUUCGGACUGGGAAAUUUUUAGUUUCUAUUCUUUUCACGGGAAGUUAAUAAA
rnacentral:rRNA from 1 species